rnacentral:rRNA from 1 species
GUCGGGAGUCUUGCACAAUGGGGGAAACCCUGAUGCAGCGACGUCGCGUGUGGGAUGAAGUAUUUCGGUAUGUAAACCACUUUUGCGGGGGGCGAAAAAAAUGACGGUACCCCGCGAAUAAGCCCCGGCUAACUACGUGCCAGCAGCCGCGGUAAUACGUAGGGGGCGAGCGUUGCUCGGAUUGACUGGGCGUAAAGCGCGCGUAGGCGGUCCAGUAAGUGUGCGGUGAAAUUCGGAGGCUCAACCUCCGUCCCGCCGCGCAAACUGAUGGUCUUGAGAUUGGGAGGGGGAUGCGGAAUUCCUGGUGUAGCGGUGAAAUGCAUUGAUAUCAGGAGGAACACCGGCGGCGAAAGCGGCAUCCUGGCUUAUAUCUGACGCUGAGGCGCGAAAGCGUGGGUAGCAAACGGGAUUAGAUACCCGGGUAGUCC